rnacentral:lncRNA from 1 species
UGGUCACAUGGUCACAUAUGUUAUGGUAAUUACUCCUGCAAAAAAUUAUUGCAAUCUCUUUUUCCAAAGAGUGGAUGGCAUUAUUUGUCAUCAAAAUUGGGGGAAAAACAAAAUAUUGUUUGACUUAUUUUGAAUACAGCAUCAGAUAUUUAUUGGCAAAAAAACAUUCUGUAUUGUUCUUAAGCAUUUCUAUUUAGUAAACUUAGUUUGCAGAGACUUUCACCAUGUCACAGUAUGUGUAUGUGACAAAACGGGAAAUGCUAGAAAAAUGUAUUACUAUUGGUUUGUGAAUGAGUGUGUAAGAGAGAGGGUGCAGGAUGCCUAGAAAUAGUAUCUUUUCUGAAUUUUAACUUUCCAAAUUACCAACUGCCUGAUUAAUUAGGCAUAAAGCACUAUGAAAGAGUGUUUUCUUGUAGUCGGACAAGGACUCCUUGAUUUUGAAGUUCUCCUAGUAUUUAACACAUGAGAAAACAAAACAAGCAUUGUAUUUACAUACUUCGUGUGGGACUGUGAAGUGAUGUAGCAUUGAUUUAAAGAGGGCCUUCACUUAUUUUCAUUACAUAUGUGACCAUACUAGAUUUUCAGCAUGAAGGCUGUUGUAGCAUUCUGGCUUUUGCCAAAAAAACUUUCC